CCAGAGAAGAGAGGAGCACAGAAAUAUUAGUAAUUGUUGGUCUGAUUGUGCUGCAGGCUGUUGUUUGGCGUCAGUGAGGGCCGUCACGACCGAAGCCACAAACACAACAUCACUCAGAGAGAAAGAGAGAUGCAAAGAGACGAAUAAUUCAGUUUGUAAUGACUUCUCCGCACAACACCUUCAUGUAAUUCCAUUAUGGAUUUUGCCAUAAAGUGAUAAAUUCAUUAUUCAGGUGGACAGUAAAAAGCAGCAAUAACAUCCUCUAAUAUGCACAUUAUUCACGGCGUUACUCCGAGAAGCUGAUUUCUGGUGCUCUCCUCUUUCAUUUAUGAAGCUCUUUCUCAGGCUGUGAUGGGAACGGGAUGCAUUGUUCUAAAAACUGAAUUAGCAACGGCGUCCCGUCACUUUAGCGCCGUGGCUAAUGUGAACUCGAGGCACGGAGGCUUUUUGCCAUCAUCUGUUUAAAAGGCUUUUUUUCUGAAAGACAUUGGCUCAGGUUUAUGACACUGAAACACGUGUGAAAACCAAUAGCUGCUUCCAUGCAAACGCUGUAGGAUCAUGUGUCUGGAAUCAGCUUUGCAGACUUUCCAGAUCUGAAUCUGGUUGACAAAAAGGUCAAAUUUACUUUAGAUAUGAUUUAUGUUACUGAAUAUCCCUCAGCAUUAAAUAUUGUGUAUCAUUAUACUAGAUAAUAAUCUGAUAAUUUUAACAUUGUCUGAAAAAAUUGGAGUCGUGCAAAACACUGCAAGAAAGGUGUUUGUUAAGUUAUUGCUAUGAAUUUGUCAAUGUGUUGCUAUGCAGUUGUCAAAAGGUUUGUUAUGUGGUUGUCAGGGUGUUGCUGUGUGGUUGUCAAAGAGAUGCUAUGCGGUUUUCAAGGUGUUUCUAUGCUGUUGUCAGGGUGUUGCAAUGCUGUUGUCAAGGUGAUGCUGUGCAGUUGUCAGGGUGUUGCAAUGCUGUUGUCAAGGUAUUGCUGUGCGGUUGUCAGGGUGUUGCGAUUCUGUUGUCAGGGUGCUGCUCUACGGUUAUCAAGGUGUUGCUAUGUGGUUUACAAGGUUAGGGUUAGGGUUAGAGUUUAAAACCAUGUGUGGGUGUCAAGGUGUUGCUAUCCGGUUGUCAAGGUGUUGCUGUGCUGUUCUCAGGAUGUUACUUUUUCGGGUGUCAAGGUGUUGCUGUGCGGUCAUCAGGGUGUUGCGAUGCUGUUGUCAAGAUAUUGCUGUGCGGUUGUCAGGGUGUUGCAAUGCUGUUGUCAAGGUGUUGCUGUGCGGUCAUUAGGGUGUUGCAAUGCUGUUGUCAAGGUGUUGCUGUGCGGUUUUGAGGGUGUUGCGAAGCUGUUGUCAAGGUGUUGCUGUGUGGUCAUCAGAGAGUGGCAAUGCUGUUGUCAAGGUGAUGCUGUGCAGUUGUCAGGGUGUUGUGUUGCUGUUGUCAAGGUAUUGCUGUGCGGUUGUCAGGGUGUUGCGAUUCUGUUGUCAGGGUGUUGCUGUGCGGUUUUCAGGGUGUUGCAAUGCUGUUGUCAAGGUGUUGCUGUGCGGUUGUUAGGGUGUUGCGAUGCUGUUGUCAAGGUGUUGCGAUGCAGUUGUUAGGGUGUUGCGAUGCUGUUGUCAAGGUGUUCAAAUUGAGAAACACUGAAGACUGUCAAAGGCUGUGAGGCUGAAGGGUGGUUGUAAAGAAUUUUUGUUAUUGUACAGUGUGUCUGUAACAGGCAGUUACUGUAUAUUUUGUGUGUCCGAUGUGUCUGAUUGUGUCAUUCGUGUCUGUUGAGGGUGUGACUCUCAGAACUGUUGCGUGAGACUCACACUGUUCAGACUCACAGAUGGCUUCAGUUCUUCAUGUGAGCAUGCACAGCUGCAGACGAGCCACCCGCUGCUUCACGUCCCCAUUCCUCCGUCUGUCUUCUCCAGAACCUGAAUUACAAAUAAUUCAUUAACAAUUUCAUUCUUUAGAAAAAAACAUCUUUUUAUGCAAAUAGA
ensembl:lncRNA